AGAGUUUGAUCCUGGCUCAGAGCGAACGCUGGCGGCAGGCUUAACACAUGCAAGUCGAACGGACCCUUCGGGGUUAGUGGCGGACGGGUGAGUAACACGUGGGAACGUGCCUUUAGGUUCGGAACAACACAGGGAAACUUGUGCUAAUACCGGAUGUGCCCUUCGGGGGAAAGAUUUAUCGCCUUUAGAGCGGCCCGCGUCUGAUUAGCUAGUUGGUGGGGUAAAGGCUUGCCAAGGCUACGAUCAGUAGCUGGUCUGAGAGGAUGGCCAGCCACAUUGGGACUGAGACACGGCCCAAACUCCUACGGGAGGCAGCAGUGGGGAAUCUUGCGCAAUGGGCGAAAGCCUGACGCAGCCAUGCCGCGUGGAUGAUGAAGGUCUUAGGAUUGUAAA
rnacentral:rRNA from 1 species